CUUGCAUUAUGCAAAAUGAGUAUAAUUCUGUGAUGCUGCAGGUUGGUGGCUGUGAAUCACAGUGUUGUUCAUGAGAUCUGCAAGUCUCUCUGGGUUUCACUGCUCCUAAAGCAACAGCUGCAGAAAGAAAAGCAGAACCCUGACAGUUUGGAGCCCUUGGAGCCUGAUUCUGUUUUGAAUUGACAUGGCAAAGAGGUGAGGUCCCCCAGCCCUCUCCUGUGGUGGGUCCACAGCUAUCAGUGAUGGGAUCUCACAGGCUUGAGCUGCAGCGAAUGGCUGUAGGAGAUGAUGUGCAAGUCAGCGCCCUAGCCAGCAGCUGGAGAAAAUACCUUUUCUCAGCCACUGAGAAAAGGUAUUAUUUCAAACAAAUGCAUGGUAUCUUUUUUAUUUAUCAUUCCUGAAAGAACACAGAACACAAGAAGAAGCUGAGCCAGUGGGACAGGAAGAUACACACAAACUGAGAGUAAAAGCACUGAUGGCAAUUUGGCAGCCUAAGGAGUACUAGAGGGAUGAUAAUGAAUAGGAGCUGUUUUUCAGGCACUGAAUACAGCUACUGUGAUUCAGAUUUGGAAGCUGUAUAAAGGUCUGUAAAGAGUAGGAAAAAACCAUUAUUGAGACUCCAGUUCUGAGCAGAUCCUAUGUAACCCCAGGGGUCAGAGCUUGGUGCUAUGAUAACACAUCUGACUGCUUAACUGGAAUGUUUUCAUAGCUAUGUAUAAAAUGAUUUCUGGGAAGACAGACCUGCAGCUGAACCAUUUAUCAUUGUUUAUGGGCUGGCUGGGUACAGACCAUGUCUCAGGGGCAAAGAUGCUUCCUGUGCCUCUACCUUAAGUGUACAUAUCAGAGUAGACAUCCUUUACUCCAUGACUGGCACUCUUUCUCUGCAUUGGAAAAUAAACAAAUCUGGACUCUGCAGUGUCAAAGGAGGCUUUAAACACUCUUACUGGUCCAAAAUAGUCCCUUUCCAAUCUCAUGAGCUGGACAUUAGCAAGUGCAGAAAAUGUAUGGGUCUCAAAAAGACUCCCUUUCUACUGUAACAAAGACCACUUUCCUUUUCCAAGAAACAGAGAGAUGGACAGAGAUUUGACAGAGCUACUAAUAUUUGAAGAGAGAAAAAAAUAGGAAGUAGAGGAGUGCAGAAACUAUCUGGAGCUGUUGCUCUGAUUCAGACAAGGGUGAGACAAGAUGAGCCCCAAGUCUGAACAGAAAGAGGCACAAAAACUCACAUAGGAUGGGAUACCGAGAAAAUAUAUAAUGGUUGACAUGCUGAAAGAAAAGAGAAAAUGAGUUGGCUGACACAGUAUUUCUUCUUCCAUAAAUGUUGUGAAAUCUCUGUGCAGAGAAGUUUCACAAAGCAAGGAAAAAUGUGGGCAGAGGGGCUUUUGGAGGCAGUCACAGGCAGCUCACUUGAGAGAAAUGCAAAGGAUGAAAAGGGGAGCUACACGGAAUGCACUGAGAACUCUCUUUUGGAAAGCAGACAUUAGAUACCAAAAUGGAACCAUUUGGGAGUUUUGCCUCUGGGACUCCUGGAAGGACAGAGAUGGAAAGACUCUAACAUCUGCACGUGGGCUGCCUUCAGCUUUGCAAGAUUUGCUGAAAAUGGUGGUGGCAUCUCAACCCUUCCAGAUCUGGCCAAUUUCAGCCCUACUCUUCUUUCAGUGUGCUGCAGUAAUUAUCAGAUGAUGAGAAACUCUCCACAGCCUGUCUCUCCUGGCAGCAAGGCUGCCAGCUUCAGACAAAUCUUGGCUGUCUCCCAGGGCAGGGCAGUGAGCCCAGACACUCUGAAUGACCCUCUUCUGCCAUAUAGACACAGGACACGCACUCCUUUUGAAGGAAACUGCUGUGAGUGUACUUCCCCAAGCCCUGUACUGGCACUGUGUGAACCCCAGGAACACAGACUGCUUGAGUGCCAGCCAAAUCCUCAUUAACCCGCUGACUAUUCCAAUCACAUACUGACCAACAUGUCCGAAAGGGUCAAGGAAAAUAAAGGUCAGGAGAGGGUGGUGAUGUCUGCUGGUGAUGUAAACCUGAGUCCUCACAGUGGUGCUGCAAUUUCAUCGCUGCACCUGAUUCAAAAAUACACCAACAGGUAUGUGGAAUCUUGGAGAAUCUACAGUGUAUUCUUGGGAGAUAAAGGAACAUUUUUUUAAUAUGAGGAGAAAGUCUGGGUUUGCCUCAUGAUAUGUGUAUGGAUAAUCCAUUUCUUAUGGAAUUGGUCUCUUGCAUUGUAAGACUGAAAUAAUCACCAAAUGCCAGAUGUGACAAAAAAAUGUAAUCACCCUGGUUUUGACCCCAUUUUUAAUCUUGUGUUAGCUUUUUGUUUCAUACACGCACUUACAAUUGAGCCCAAACAAUAAGGAUGUUUUAUGCCAUCAUGA